GGGUCUGGAAAGCGUCGCUCGUGGUUGCUUUCCCAGAGCCGCUCGUUGGCCUGGUUUGUCUUCCUCCCAAGGCCAGACCUCGCCGCAGCGGGGCCUUCCCGCGCCCUGAGGAUUGGCCUCUCUGAUCUCGCUGGGAGAAAGGUCCCUCUCUAACGCUGGGUGCGACAAAGUACAAAAAUGUGACCCGCACCGCAGGCAAUCCCGGCGCCUAAAAUGCGGAGGGGCAGAGAUAAGAUGAGCAAUGCGAGCAAGCGGACAGCCUCUCAGGAAACCGCCUCUUUUUAACAGUUUCCGGGGUUGGAAUCCAGUUUGAUGUCUGGGGGAACUCAGAGGCACGAGGGCAUUUAUACUCUCUGGGGUGAAGUCACCGGGAACAAAUUUCAGAGAAAUCCCUCGCGUACGAUGUUAAUUACAACUGAAAUAGAUUGUCUUCCUUAUUUUUUUCCUUUUCUAAUUCAAGGACUGGCAGGUAGGAUAUAAUCUGCUCUGUUGACAGUAUAAUAAUUAAGUACUUUUUUGUGAAUUUUUGGGGAUCGGAGCACUUUUCUACACAGCCAGGUGAAACCGUGAGAACUGCCCCCUGCAAAAGGAUGUGGUCUUCUUUUGCUAAAUGCUUCAUUCUAAACACCACUCCAAUUCCAGCCUGCUUUUUUUUCUUGUUUGUGAGCUGAAUACAGGACAGGAGGCCAAUGUAGAGCUUGGAGAUGCCAAGGUUUCCCCAAGGUGGGCCUAAGCCAACCUGUGGGUUUCAUGCUAUUUGCUUUCCUUUUCUUUCUGUUGUGACCCCACAGCACAGCAGCUUAAUAGCAACUGUUAAGUUACUAUGAAUGCUGUUUGUUCUUUGGAAGGGUGUCUCUGGGGACAAGGAUGGCAUCCCAUAGUUAAAUACUGGAAAACAAGAGGGAUGUCGAGUGGGAGGAUGCUGAAGAGAAUCACAUCUUUGGUAAGGCACAGAAAGUAAAGACCUCAAUUUAUUAGUCCUAAAUAAGCAGGCUAGUAACCAUUUACAAGCCGGUUUUACUAGAGCUGAGAGGAGCAUGGACAAGAGUUCAUGGCAGGCAGGCAGGAGGUAAGUGGGAGGUUCUUGACUCACUGGAGUAAUAAAACAGUAAGAACGUGUUGGCUCAUUCUUGUAGUUUUUGGAGAGAGGGGGAAACAUGCUCAUGAUUAAAAUACUUAUAUGUUAUCUAUAUGACAAACUAUUCAUUUAAUUAUCAUGUGACUGCCAUGAGCUGGGAGUCACUGUCCACAUUUUACAGACUUUGAAAACUGAAGUUCAGAGAGGGUACCUUUUUCUCAAGACCACAGAGCUUGGGCCACCCACGUCAGCCGGAUGAGAGGAUUCCAGGAAGAGUCGGAAAGCACAGCACUCAUUUCUUCAAGAAGAGCCAGACUCAAAUGCUUGCCCAGCCCAGUGUUACUGGACAAUUGCUGGAAGCUCCCAGAUCUGGGAACACCCUGCAGUUCCUGUGUACACCCAACCUUGUUAUUUGAACCAAACUCAGGACCUCAAUCCUCUUUUCUUCCUCCACAAAUAUUCAUUAGGAUUAAAAAUUAUUUUAUGUA